CAAUAGCGUAUAUUAAAGUUGUUGCAGUUAAAAAGCUCGUAGUUGGAUUUCUGGUGGGAGCGAUCGGUCUGGCGCUUAGCGCGAGUACUUGCAUCGUCUCCGGCCAUCCUUGGGGAGAGUCUGUCUGGCAUUAAGUUGUCGGGCAGAGGAUCCUCAUCGUUUACUGUGAAAAAAUUAGAGUGUUCAAAGCAGGCUUAUGCCGUUGAAUAUAUUAGCAUGGAAUAAUAAGAUAGGACUUUGGUACUAUUUUGUUGGUUUGCGCACCAAAGUAAUGAUUAAUAGGGACAGUUGGGGGUAUUCGUAUUCCGUUGUCAGAGGUGAAAUUCUUGGAUUUACGGAGGACGAACUACUGCGAAAGCAUUUACCAAGGAUGUUUUCAUUAA
rnacentral:rRNA from 1 species